AACGAACGCUGGCGGCAUGCCUAACACAUGCAAGUCGAACGAGACCUUCGGGUCUAGUGGCGCACGGGUGCGUAACGCGUGGGAACCUGCCCUUAGGUUCGGAAUAACUCCCCGAAAGGGGUGCUAAUACCGGAUAAUGUCUUCGGACCAAAGAUUUAUCGCCUUUGGAUGGGCCCGCGUUGGAUUAGCUAGUUGGUAGGGUAAAAGCCUACCAAGGCGACGAUCCAUAGCUGGUCUGAGAGGAUGAUCAGCCACACUGGGACUGAGACACGGCCCAGACCCCGACGGGAGGCAGCAGGGGGGAAUAUUGGACAAUGGGCGAAAGCCUGAUCCAGCAAUGCCGGGGGAGUGAUGAAGGCCUUAGGGUGGUAAAGCUCUUUUACCCGGGAUGAUAAUGACAGUCCCGGGAGAAUAAGCCCCGGCUAACCCCGU
rnacentral:rRNA from 1 species